rnacentral:rRNA from 1 species
GGUGGCAUUUUAUUUUAUUAGAGGAACUUGUCUUUUAAUCGACAAUCCACGAUAUUACUCACUUCAUAUAAAAGCUUAUAUAUCGUCAUAAUAAGAAUUUAUUUAAAAAUUACAUUCUCAAUAAAACUCUAAUAUUUUAGAUCAAGAUGUAGCCUAUUAUUUAGCUAAGAUGAGUUACAUUAAAUACAAUUUAAGGAAAUUUAUAUAUUAAUAUAAAUUAAAAAAGGAUUUAAAAGUAAUAAACAAAUAUUAAUUCUAUAUGAAUCUUUAAAGAUGUGUACACAUCGCCCGUCGCUCUU